CAACUAACGAUUGAAAAGGUUAUCAUACAACCUAAAAUGAAGAAGAAUUUGGUGUCAAAAUUUCAAUUGACAUUAGUAGGCAACUUCGUUGUGUUUUGGACCUGAUGGUGUCAAGGUCUACCAAGAUUUGAAGUUAUCUGUGGAACUGUUGAUGAAAGGACAAGAGAUAGAUUCCAUCUAUGUGAUGUUAGUAGAAGACACCUACAUGGAUAAGCAAAGGCACACAAUGAAAGAGUCUAUAUUGAUUCCAUUGGUGAAUAAUGCCAUACAUCAAGAAAUGUUAUAGUUGAGGAAGCAUUAUCAUGAAAGACACUUGAAUCAUAAAAGACACUUAAAGAUGAGAGGUCUUUUGCAGAAAUGAUCCAAAGAUUGGAUAAAGUGCAACAUGAUCCAGUAGAAGAAGAAGAAAAUGAUGAAGACGUAGAAGAGCAAUUAAGUACACAAAGAUCAACCAUAUCACAUAGAACAUCAAUUUCUAGGGAAUGUAAAUGUAGCAUUAACAAAAUUUAAAGAGGGGAAGAAGCACCACAAAAUAUCUAAUGGAGAGAG
rnacentral:lncRNA from 1 species